ensembl:processed_transcript
CCCCCAAACACCGCUAAGCCCCAUUAAAACCACUCUUUAUUGAUUUAUGUAAGUACCUAAUGUUUUCCUCACAAAAGUAAGCCCUUGACCACAGAAAAGCCUGCAAACCAAGCAGUGCUAAAACAGGCGUGCCAACCACAGCAGGCCAACCACAGCAGGCCAACCACAGCAGGCACCUGUUGGGAAGAAACAGGGUGGGUUGCUCUACCUCAAACCUCUACCUCUUCAUGGAACUUGGCUCAUCACUUCAGGGGAGAGGGUGGGUUUAAGAUAUCAGAGAGGUAGAGAUGAGCCCCUGGGUACCCUGAUAGAACAGAGCUGUGCUGUAUUCCCUUUCCUGCCUAGUGGGAGUUGACAAACUCCUUAGAGCCCAGCACCCUAGGAAGUCAACCCACCUUCUACCUGCACCUCAGAGUACAAAGAGACAUCCCUGAAGGACUGAAUGGUCCUUGUUGUGUUCUAGCCUCCUGGGCCUGAGUACCGCGUUUUGUUUAGGAUACGGGCCUUCUACCACAAGCGACUGAGGCACAAAACAAAAACCCUGGAGGCUGGAGACAGCUCAGUUGAUCAAGUUCUUGCUGUACAAGCAGGAGCCUGAGAAUACUCCCCAGAACCAAGGAGAAACAAGAAGCCUUCGACUUCUGCAGAGGGGAGCAGAGAAGAGCUCCUAAGAGCCUUGGUGGUAUCCCCUGAACUCAGAAUACACGAGCCCUUGGACUUGGGGACUCCUCUUUCAGGGAUUUUCUCC